GGAACGGAGCCAAUUCAACGGAGCCAAAUCAAACACCUGGCAAAAGGUGUUUAAUGUAUCUGACACCAUUCCAGUCAUUCCUCUCCAGACAUGACCACGAGCCCGUCCUCCCCUACUAAGGUGUUUAAUGUAUCUGACACCAUUCCAGUCAUUCCUCUCCAGACAUGACCACGAGCCCGUCCUCCCCUACUAAGGUGUUUAAUGUAUCUGACACCAUUCCAGUCAUUCCUCUCCAGACAUGACCACGAGCCCGUCCUCCCCUACUAAGGUGUUUAAUGUAUCUGACACCAUUCCAGUCAUUCCUCUCCAGACAUGACCACGAGCCCGUCCUCCCCUACUAAGGUGUUUAAUGUAUCUGACACCAUUCCAGUCAUUCCUCUCCAGACAUGACCACGAGCCCGUCCUCCCCUACUAAGGUGUUUAAUGUAUCUGACACCAUUCCAGUCAUUCCUCUCCAGACAUGACCACGAGCCCGUCCUCCCCUACUAAGGUGUUUAAUGUAUCUGACACCAUUCCAGUCAUUCCUCUCCAGACAUGACCACGAGCCCGUCCUCCCCUACUAAGGUGUUUAAUGUAUCUGACACCAUUCCAGUUACUCCUCUCCAGACAUGACCACGAGCCCGUCCUCCCCUACUAAGGUGUUUAAUGUAUCUGACACCAUUCCAGUCAUUCCUCUCCAGACAUGACCACGAGCCCGUCCUCCCCUACUAAGGUGUUUAAUGUAUCUGACACCAUUCCAGUCAUUCCUCUCCAGACAUGACCACGAGCCCGUCCUCCCCUACUAAGGUGUUUAAUGUAUCUGACACCAUUCCAGUCAUUCCUCUCCAGACAUGACCACGAGCCCGUCCUCCCCUACUAAGGUGUUUAAUGUAUCUGACACCAUUCCAGUCAUUCCUCUCCAGACAUGACCACGAGCCCGUCCUCCCCUACUAAGGUGUUUAAUGUAUCUGACACCAUUCCAGUCAUUCCUCUCCAGACAUGACCACGAGCCCGUCCUCCCCUACUAAGGUGUUUAAUGUAUCUGACACCAUUCCAGUCAUUCCUCUCCAGACAUGACCACGAGCCCGUCCUCCCCUACUAAGGUGUUUAAUGUAUCUGACACCAUUCCAGUUACUCCUCUCCAGACAUGACCACGAGCCCGUCCUCCCCUACUAAGGCGCCACCAACCUGUGACUGAUAGCUGACUUUUGCAUGGCGGUCUUCUCCAAUAGGUUUUAUGUUUCCUGUGUCUGUCGAGGUUAAUGCAUCCGCUUCCCAUUCACAUAAUGUAUCACCCUCAGAAGGGACGAUGUCCUGUGUAGAAUAUUGGAAAAGCAAAGUGUACAAGACAACCAUUUUAGAAUCUGUGAAAAAUAUUUUACUGGGAUGUUUCAACAAACUAAGCUAUGCUAUUCACUAUGCUAUCACUAUGCUAUCACUAUGCUAUUCACUAUGCUAUCACUAUGCUAUUCACUAUGCUAUCACUAUGCUAUCACUAUGCUAUCACUAUGCUAUCACUAUGCUAUCACUAUGCUAUUCACUAUGCUAUUCACUAUGCUAUCACUAUGCUAUCACUAUGCUAUCACUAUGCUAUUCACUAUGCUAUCACUAUGCUAUUCACUAUGCUAUCACUAUGCUAUCACUAUGCUAUUCACUAUGCUAUCACUAUGCUAUCACUAUGCUAUCACUACUACACCACCACUGCUUUAACUAACUGCUAAAACUAAUAUCACUAAUACUGAAACAGUAACACAGAAAUACCAAGUAACAUUGCUCUUCCUGUCUGAGUCCAUCACUGAUUAGAUUAGCGUAGAGUAGGUUGUAAGUGAUCCUUCCUC